rnacentral:rRNA from 1 species
GAGUUUGAUCAUGGCUCAGAGCGAACGCUGGCGGCAGGCCUAACACAUGCAAGUCGAGCGCCCCGCAAGGGGAGCGGCAGACGGGAGAGUAACACGUGGGAACGUACCCUUCAGUUCGGAACAACCAAGGGAAACGUUUGGCUAAUACCGAAUACGUCCGUAAGGAGAAAGAUUUAUCGCUGAAGGAUCGGCCCGCGUCUGAUUAGCUAGUUGGUGGGGUAACGGCCCACCAAGGCGACGAUCAGUAGCUGGUCUGAGAGGAUGAUCAGCCUCACUGGGACUGAGACACGGCCCAGACUCCUACGGGAGGCAGCAGUGGGGAAUAUUGGACAAUGGGCGCAAGCCUGAUCCAGCCAUGCCGCGUGGAUGAUGAAGGCCCUAGGGUUGUAAAGUCCUUUCGGCGGGGAAGAUAAUGACGGUACCCGCAGAAGAAGCCCCGGCUAACUUCGUGCCAGCCG